AUGGCUCAGGAUGAACGCUAGCUACAGGCUUAACACAUGCAAGUCGAGGGGUAGCAGGGUAGCAAUACCGCUGACGACCGGCGCACGGGUGAGUAACACGUAUCCAACCUUCCCAUAACUCAGGGAUAGCCUUUCGAAAGAAAGAUUAAUACCUGAUAGUACUUUUUCAAGGCAUCUUGAGAAAGUUAAAGAUUUAUUGGUUAUGGAUGGGGAUGCGUUCCAUUAGAUAGUUGGUGAGGUAACGGCUCACCAAGUCUUCGAUGGAUAGGGGUUCUGAGAGGAAGGUCCCCCACAUUGGUACUGAGACACGGACCAAACUCCUACGGGAGGCAGCAGUGAGGAAUAUUGGUCAAUGGGCGAGAGCCUGAACCAGCCAAGUAGCGUGAAGGAAUGAAGGUCCUAUGGAUUGUAAACUUCUUUUAUAGUGGAAUAAAGUGAUCCACGUGUGGAUUUUUGUAUGUAUACUAUGAAUAAGGAUCGGCUAACUCCGUGCCAGCCGCCGC
rnacentral:rRNA from 1 species